rnacentral:tRNA from 1 species
UCCUCCUGGGGGAGAGGCUGAGGCCUCUUGGGGUUUUUGGCUUCGCCCUGGCCUUCUUUGGGGCUUUGGUUCUGGCCCUGGGGGAGGGU